rnacentral:tRNA from 2 species
GGUUAGAUGGCAGAGCGGUCUAAUGCGUGUGACUAGAAAUCACAUCUCUUCGGAGGCGCAGGUUCAAAUCCUGCUCUAAUCG